AGAGAAUCGCUUGAACCCGGGAGGCAGAGGUUACAGUGAGCUGAGAUUGCACCACUGUACUCCAGCCUGGGCGACAGAG
rnacentral:snRNA from 1 species